rnacentral:rRNA from 1 species
GACAGAGGGUGCAAACGUUGUUCGGAAUUACUGGGCGUAAAGCGCGUGUAGGCUGUCUUGCAAGUCGGGUGUGAAAGCCCUGGGCUCAACCUAGGAAGUGCACUCGAAACUGCAGGACUCGAGUCCUGGAGAGGGUGGCGGAAUUCUCGGUGUAGAGGUGAAAUUCGUAGAUAUCGGGAGGAACACCAGUGGCGAAGGCGGCGACCUGGGCCAAUAUUGACGCUGAGGUGCGAAAGCGUGGGGAGCAAACAGG